CGAACGGUAGUUGUCUUUGUCUUGUUUCCAGAACAAUCUUCAGCACUUUCUCGAACCUCUCCUUCUUCUUCUGUCCUGCGAAAAGAUGAGUAGCCGAUGGAAUCGUACGAUCUACGUUGGGAAUCUCCCUGGAGAUAUUCGCAUGCGUGAGAUUGAAGAUCUCUUUUACAAGUACGGACCAAUUGUGGACAUUGACUUGAAGAUUCCACCGAGACCUCCUGGUUAUGCCUUUGUCGAGUUCGAAGAUCCUCGUGAUGCAGACGAUGCUAUCUAUGGACGUGAUGGAUAUGACUUUGCUGGCUGUCGGCUUAGGGUUGAGAUUGCACAUGGUGGUCGUAGAGGUUCGUCAUCUGUUGAUAGGUACAGCAGCAGUUACAGUGGCAGCCGUGCACCUUCAAGACGCUCCGACUUUCGUGUGCUUGUGACUGGAUUACCGCCAUCUGCUUCGUGGCAGGACCUUAAGGAUCACAUGCGCAAAGCUGGAGAUGUCUGCUUUUCUGAAGUUUUUCGUGACCGUGGAGGCAUGUCUGGGGUUGUUGAUUAUAGCAACUAUGAUGAUAUGAAAUACGCGUUAAGGAAGCUCGAUGACUCUGAGUUUCGAAAUGCUUUUUCUAAAGCUUACAUACGGGUGAGAGAAUAUGAGUCGAGGAGUGUGAGUCGCAGCCCGGAAUAUUCUAGAAGCAGGAGUCGGAGCCGUGGUCGAAGCUAUAGCUAUAGUAGCAGGAGCAGGAGUGUGUCACCUGCUAGAUCCGUUACCCCGCGGUCACGGUCCCUUACUCGCUCUCGUUCGCCACAUAGCUCUGUUUCAAGAUCUGGCUCACUGCUGCGAGCUGGGGAUUGGAUCUUAGGGACUUGAUGGUCAUCUUAGAUGGGUUGUUGGACUGGAUUUACUCAGCGCGUAUCAGCUGUAGGAUCUGAUCACAGCGUUUUGGACUAUGAUUCCUCUGAUUCCCCAAUAUAUUAUCUGAUUUGACAAUGCAGUGUUGUGUUCUUUUUUAGGCCAGAACUGAAUAAGUCCCGGGAUCAGUUGGGAGAUGGUCAGUGACUUGCUUUCUCAUCCGACACUUACAUGGGUUUUUUUUUGUCCUGCUGCAGGUCGCGAUCAAGAUCUAGAUCAAGAUCCAAUUCUCCUGUUUCACCCGUAAGAUCUGAUUGAAAAGAAAACUGGGAGUGAUUGCCAAUAGAAUCUGAUUCGGAUCUCAUAUUUCUAGUUUAGUUGUGAACAUGGAAUUGAUAUGUUAUUGUGUCAUUAACAAGCCAGAAACUCUGUAUUGGCUGUUUGUGUUGGGUGUUUUUAUUUUAUUUUCAGGGUUCUCCAUACAUAUAUUACAUUACAACUAGACCUGUGGUGUCUUUUAAGAUUCUCUACAACUAUGCUAUUGUGAUAGUAGAUUAAAUUGCCGCAAA